rnacentral:rRNA from 1 species
GAUGAACGCUAGCGGCAGGCUUAACACAUGCAAGUCGAGGGGCAACACGGGUAGCAAUACCUGGUGGCGACCGGCGCAAGGGUGCGUAACGCGUGAGCAACAUGCCCUAUACAGGGGGAUAAUCCAGGGAAACUUGGUCUAAUAUCCCAUAGUAUUUAGAGGUGGCAUCACCACUAAAUUAAAGCUUCGGUGGUAUAGGAUUGGCUCGCGUGACAUUAGCUAGAUGGUGAGGUAACGGCUCACCAUGGCAAUGAUGUCUAGGGGUUCUGAGAGGAAGGCCCCCCACACUGGGACUGAGACACGGCCCAGACUCCUACGGGAGGCAGCAGUGAGGAAUAUUGGACAAUGGAUGGAAAUCUGAUCCAGCCAUGCCGCGUGCAGGAAGACAGCCCUAUGGGUUGUAAACUGCUUUUAUAUGGGGAGCAAUAAGGUCUACGUGUAGACUGAUGAGAGUACCAUAUGAAUAAGC